rnacentral:rRNA from 1 species
GAUGAACGCUAGCGGCAGGCAUAACACAUGCAAGUCGAGGGGCAUCACGGGGUAGCAAUACUUUGGUGGCGACCGGCGCACGGGUGAGUAACGCGUAUGUAACCUACCCUGUACAGGGGGAUAGCCCGGAGAAAUUCGGAUUAAUACCCCAUAAAGAUAUCGAGAGGCAUCUUUUGGUAUUUAAAGUUUCGACGGUACGGGAUGGGCAUGCGUAACAUUAGCUAGUUGGUAAGGUAACGGCUUACCAAGGCGACGAUGUUUAGGGGUCCUGAGAGGGUGAUCCCCCACACUGGUACUGAGACACGGACCAGACUCCUACGGGAGGCAGCAGUGAGGAAUAUUGGUCAAUGGGCGCAAGCCUGAACCAGCCAUCCCGCGUGCAGGAAGACGGCGCUAUGCGUUGUAAACUGCUUUUCCAGGGAAAGAAAACCCCCGACGUGUCGGGGCUUGCCGGUACCCUGGGAAUAAGCAUCGGCUAACUCCGUG